GCAGGGGCGGCAGCUAACCAUGCAGUCGAGCGGUAACAGGGGUAGCUUGCUACCCGCUGACGAGCGGCGGACGGGUGAGUAAUGCAUAGGAAUCUGCCCGAUAGUGGGGGAUAACCUGGGGAAACCCAGGCUAAUACCGCAUACGUCCUACGGGAGAAAGGGGGCUCCGGCUCCCGCUAUUGGAUGAGCCUAUGUCGGAUUAGCUAGUUGGUGAGGUAAAGGCUCACCAAGGCGACGAUCCGUAGCUGGUCUGAGAGGAUGAUCAGCCACAUCGGGACUGAGACACGGCCCGAACUCCUACGGGAGGCAGCAGUGGGGAAUAUUGGACAAUGGGCGAAAGCCUGAUCCAGCCAUGCCGCGUGUGUGAAGAAGGCCCUCGGGUUGUAAAGCACUUUCAGCGAGGAAGAACGCCUAGUGGUUAAUACCCAUUAGGAAAGACAUCACUCGCAGAAGAAGCACCGGCUAACUCCGUGCCAGCAGCCGCGGUAAUACGGAGGGUGCAAGCGUUAAUCGGAAUUACUGGGCGUAAAGCGCGCGUAGGUGGCUUGAUAAGCCGGUUGUGAAAGCCCCGGGCUCAACCUGGGAACGGCAUCCGGAACUGUCAAGCUAGAGUGCAGGAGAGGAAGGUAGAAUUCCCGGUGUAGCGGUGAAAUGCGUAGAGAUCGGGAGGAAUACCAGUGGCGAAGGCGGCCUUCUGGACUGACACUGACACUGAGGUGCGAAAGCGUGGGUAGCAAACAGGAUUAGAUACCCUGGUAGUCCACGCCGUAAACGAUGUCGACCAGCCGUUGGGUGCCUAGCGCACUUUGUGGCGAAGUUAACGCGAUAAGUCGACCGCCUGGGGAGUACGGCCGCAAGGUUAAAACUCAAAUGAAUUGACGGGGGCCCGCACAAGCGGUGGAGCAUGUGGUUUAAUUCGAUGCAACGCGAAGAACCUUACCUACUCUUGACAUCCUGCGAACUUGUGAGAGAUCACUUGGUGCCUUCGGGAACGCAGAGACAGGUGCUGCAUGGCUGUCGUCAGCUCGUGUUGUGAAAUGUUGGGUUAAGUCCCGUAACGAGCGCAACCCUUGUCCUUAUUUGCCAGCGCGUAAUGGCGGGAACUCUAAGGAGACUGCCGGUGACAAACCGGAGGAAGUG
rnacentral:rRNA from 1 species